ACUCCUACGGGAGGCAGCAGUGGGGAAUAUUGCACAAUGGGCGCAAGCCUGAUGCAGCCAUGCCGCGUGUGUGAAGAAGGCCUUCGGGUUGUAAAGACUUUCAGUCGUGAGGAAGGUGAGUGUUAAGUUAAUAGGCCUGCUAUUAUUUGACGUUAGCGAACAAGAAGAAGCGACCGCUAACUCCGUGCCAGCAGCCGCGGUAAUACGGAGGGUGCGAGCGUUAAUCGGAAUUACUGGGCGUAAAGCGCAUGCAGGUGGUUUGUUAAGUCAGAUGUGAAAGCCCGGGGCUCAACCUCGGAAUUGCAUUG
rnacentral:rRNA from 1 species